UUGGAGGGCAAGUCUGGUGCCAGCAGCCGCGGUAAUUCCAGCUCCAAUAGCGUAUAUUAAAGUUGUUGCGAGUUAAAAAGCUCGUAGUUGAAUUUACGGGAUCAGACUGUCGGUCGUGCCUCGGUACGCACUGGCAUUAUUGGUUCCUACCUUCUGAAGAACCGCGAUGUCAUUAAUUUGGUGUCGCGGGGAAUCAGGACUGUUACUUUGAAAAAACUUAGAGUGUUUAAAAGCAGGCUUACGCUUGAAUACAUUAGCAUGGAAUAAUGAAA
rnacentral:rRNA from 1 species